UACGGAGGGUGCGAGCGUUGUCCGGAAUCACUGGGCGUAAAGGGCGCGUAGGUGGCCUGUGGAAGUCUGCGGUGAAAGCCCGGCGCUCAACGCCGGGUCGGCCGUGGAUACUCUCGGGCUUGAGCUUACUAGAGGCAGAUGGAAUUCCGGGUGUAGCGGUGGAAUGCGUAGAGAUCCGGAAGAACACCGGUGGCGAAGGCGGUCUGCUGGGCAGUUGCUGACACUGAGGCGCGACAGCGUGGGGAGCAAACAGG
rnacentral:rRNA from 1 species